rnacentral:rRNA from 1 species
UACGGGGGGGGCAAGCGUUGUUCGGAAUUACUGGGCGUAAAGGGCUCGUAGGCGGCCAACUAAGUCAGACGUGAAAUCCCUCGGCUUAACCGGGGAACUGCGUCUGAUACUGGUUGGCUUGAGGUUGGGAGAGGGAUGCGGAAUUCCAGGUGUAGCGGUGAAAUGCGUAGAUAUCUGGAGGAACACCGGUGGCGAAGGCGGCAUCCUGGACCAAUUCUGACGCUGAGGUGCGAAAGCGUGGGGAGCAAACAGG